rnacentral:rRNA from 1 species
UCCUACGGGGGGCAGCAGUAGGGAAUAUUGCUUAAUGGGCGCAAGCCUGAAGCAGCAACGCCGCGUGUGCGAUGAAGGCCUUCGGGUCGUAAAGCACUUUUGACUGGGACGAGGAAGGACGGUACCAGUAGAAUAAGCCUCGGCUAACUACGUGCCAGCAGCCGCGGUAAAACGUAGGAGGCGAGCGUUAUCCGGAUUUACUGGGUGUAAAGCGCGUGCAGGCGGUUUGUUAAGUUGGAUGUGAAAGCUCCUGGCUCAACUGGGAGAGGUCGUUCAAGACUGGCAGACUGGAGAGCAGUAGGGGAAGGUGGAAUUCCGGGUGUAGUGGUGAAAUGCGUAGAUAUCCGGAGGAACACCAGUGGCGAAAGCGGCCUUCUGGACUGCAUCUGACGCUCAGACGCGAAAGCUAGGGGAGCAAACGGGAUUAGAUACCCCGGUAGUCCC